rnacentral:lncRNA from 1 species
UAGAAAUUUUCUUUUUAUUUCUUUCUCUAUAUUAUUAUUAUUUUUUCUUUCUCUUUCCUUUUUUCCAUCUCCCCAGCAGGUAUAACUAUAGAGAAUGUUGAGUAGAGUUGUUUGGCUUUGCUUCUAUAGCUGUAUGCACUUCUGAUGGCAACUUUUAUACUGGGCUGUGCGCUUCAAACUCUAAGCCUGUAGAUGGCACUUAUAGGUAUGAGCUGGUUGCAGCCAAUUUGGGGAUAUACUUGACCUUUGUUUACUGGGAGAAGCUCCCUGUUGCUUCAGGUAAAUGGGCUGAUCCAUGGAGUGCACAGUGGUCUGAGCUUCCUGUUUAGCCCCUGGUGAGUGGGGGACAUGAUGGAUGGAGCUGGACCAGGCGAGUCUGCCUACAGGCUCCAGGGACAAGCACAAGUGCUGAGGGAGAAUCCAGUGAGCAGCCAUCAAGUACCUAGAGGUGCACCUAGGCAUGGAGCUGGGAAACCUCUUUAGCCCCAAGUUCACUGCACAGGGAUGGGGGAUGGCCUAAACUCCUUAUCCAGGAGAGGGGGCACUCCAGGUGCCUGGAGAUCUGCCUGGGUGUGGAGUGAAGAGGUCCCUGCUUCACCAGGAUCUCUAUAUAGGAAGAAUGGCAUAGGUCAGAAUGCCAAUCCAGGUGAGUGGGUACUUUGAAUACCUGGAGAUCUGCCUAUUGUGGAGCAGAGAAAGCCCCGUUUCACCACAAUCUAUACUCAGGAAGGUUGAGGUGGCUCAAGCUGCUGAACUAAGCAAAUGGGUCCUCCAAAUGCCUGGAGAUCUGCCUGGGCAUGGAGCAGAAAAGGCCCCACUAUAUCUUGAUCUAUGUCUAUGAAGGGUGGGGCAGCUCAGGCUGCUGGUCCAGGCAAACAGGUACUCCAAAUGCCUGGAUUUCUGCCUGUGGCUAGAGUGGAUAGGGCCCCACUGCACCAUGAUCUCAGGGGAACAGGAUGGAGCACCCAGAAAUGGCGUGCACAGACUGGUUCCAAGUCACUAAGCUGACCCUGGCUGCAAGUCUUGCUGCUCAGGAGAAACUGCAGUGGUAGCAGCUCCCAUCCCAUCCUAGUCUUGCAAUGGGGAAUAACAAAAUUCCAGUGCCUACUGCUGAGGUACUUUUCAUAGUUCUAGCUCUGGAGACCCCUAUGCCACUCUAGAGCAGGCACUCCAGUCUCUGACCUGAGACUAAAAUGCCUGCAUGGCUACACUGCCAGGUUGCUAAAGAAUGGCUGACUUUAUGUCCCUGGGUUAAAACACAUCCUGCUUUUGGUCCCAGGUCUGGGAAAAUGCCUGUAGUGUUCCCCAGUGUCUUUUUUCUCAUAGCAUCUCCAAGCUCCUCCCCAGGUUGGCUGCAAGGCUUAGGAUAAACAAGGUGUCCUCCCUUGGCCUGGGUUGCUCGGAUCCCCAGUGGAAAGGUAAGUAACAGAGGGAGGCUGUCUGCCUGUCUCACAUACUGGGGUUUCACUCACUUUUCUCAGCCAGAUGCUUUCAUGGGGUCCGUUUGCCCACAUUUUCCUCUCUGGGAUCUGAGGUGUCCUUCAUGAUUCUGGUGAAUCCCCAUUUUCCUUCUUGAAUUAAUGCCACAGAGUUGAUCUUUAUGCACUAUCUUGCUAUUUCCAAGUGACUGAGGCAUGCUAAAAGGGUGUAAUCCACCAUCUUGUGAAAAAAAGCGUGGUAAUCUUAUUGUGGGUCUUGGGUGAAGAAUUGUUUUUUUCUUGCUACAUUUAGAGUUUUCUCUUUAUCCUUUGUUUGAUUUUGAUGUGCCUAGGUGUGGAUCUGUUUCAGUUUAUCCUACUUAGAGAUUGUUGAGCUUCUUGGAUGUUGAGCUUCUUGGACAUGAAGAUUAAUGUUUUUCAUCAAAUUCCUAGUAAGCCCUGAUAAACUGACUCAUACAAGAUGGGAAUGCCUACCAUGAAAUGCUGAGAUGGGAUAUGACAGUGACAACAAAGGCUGCUGCUGUAAUGUGAUCUCUCCAGAUGGGUUCUUUCAUCUUAGGUAAAAAGGUAUUGGUUUUGAAAAUGCUCCCAAGGAAAGCUGCAUACAAAUAUCCAUCUCAGAGUCUAAUUCCAAGGAACCCAGUCCAGAUGGCUGCCUUCCAGAGUCUGGGUUCUCUGCCACUGUUUGAUAUUGGUCAGUCCCUGGACUGUGAGCUCCCUGAGGACACACAGUGCUACAUCAAGUUACUUGGAGCCCUAGGACAACUUCCAUCUCAAGUGAUCCUCUUCCAUAUCAGGGAAUCAUCAAAUGCUUGCUGAAUAAAUUGCCACCCUCUUUGGACUUUGAAAAACGAAGUAUCCUUUUCUCAAAAAUAUGUAGGAGAAUAACAUUUAUACCCUGUAUUAGUUUUUUAGAGCUGCCAUAACAAAAUGCC